rnacentral:rRNA from 1 species
AUUGAACGCUGGCGGCAGGCCUAACACAUGCAAGUCGAGCGGCAGCGGGAAAGUAGCUUGCUACUUUUGCCGGCGAGCGGCGGACGGGUGAGUAAUGCCUGGGAAAUUGCCCAGUCGAGGGGGAUAACAGUUGGAAACGACUGCUAAUACCGCAUACGCCCUACGGGGAAAGCAGGGGACCUUCGGGCCUUGCGCGAGUGGAUAUGCCAAGGUGGGAUUAGCUAGUUGGUGCGGUAAUGACUCACCAAGGGGACGAUCCCUAGCUGGUCUGAGAGGAUGAUCAGCCACACUGGAACUGAGACACGGUCCAGACUCCUACGGGAGGCAGCAGUGGGGAAUAUUGUACAAUGGGGGAAACCCUGAUGCAGCCAUGCCGCGUGUGUGAAGAAGGCCUUCGGGUUGUAAAGCACUUUCAGCGAGGAGGAAAGGUUGAUGCCUAAUACGUAUCAACUGUGACGUUACUCGCAGAAGAAGCACCGGCUAACUCCGUGCCAGCAGCCGCGGUAAUAC